CCUACGGGUGGCAGCAGUGAGGAAUAUUGGUCAAUGGGCGCAAGCCUGAACCAGCCAAGUCGCGUGAGGGAUGACGGUCCUAUGGAUUGUAAACCUCUUUUAUCGGGGAGCAAAGCCCGCCACGUGUGGCGGGAAGGAGAGUACCCGAAGAAAAAGCAUCGGCUAACUCGGGGCCAGCGACGGCGGUAAUCCGGAGGGUGCGGGCGUUGUCCGGAUUUAUUGGGUGAAAGGGGUGCGUAGGCGGAAGGUUAAGUCAGCGGUAAAAUGUCGGUGCUAAACACAGGACUGCCGUUGAAACUGGUCUUCUUGAGUGAGCGAGAAGUAUGCGGAAUGCGUGGUGUAGCGGUGAAAUGCAUAGAUAUCACGCAGAACUCCGAUUGCGAAGGCAGCAUACCGGCGCUCAACUGACGCUGAGGCACGAAAGCGUGGGGAUCGAACAGGAUUAGAUACCCCUGUAGUC
rnacentral:rRNA from 1 species